rnacentral:rRNA from 1 species
GAUGAACGCUGGCGGCGUGCCUAAUACAUGCAAGUCGAGCGAACGGACGAGAAGCUUGCUUUUCUGAUGUGAGCGGCGCACGGGUGAGUAACACGUGGAUACUCUACCUCUCAGACUGGGAUAACUUCGGGAAACCGGCGCUAACACCGGAUAAUAUUUUGAACGGCAUGGUUCAAAAGUGAAAUUCGGUCUUGCUGUCACCUAGCGGUGGAUCCGCGCUGCAGUAGCUAGUUGGUAUGGUAACGGCUUACCAAGGCAACGAUGCAUAGCCGGCCUUAGAGGGGUAUCGGCCACGCUGGAACUGAGGCACGGUCCAGGCUCGUACGGCAGGCAGCAGUAGGGAGUCUUGCGGAAUGGGCGAAAGCUUGACGGUGCAACGACGCGUGAUUGAUGGAGGUCUUGGGGUCGUUGAACUCUGUCAGGUGGGAAGAUCAUAUGUGUAAGUAAGUGUGCUCAUCUUGACGGUACCUGGUCAGGAAGCCACGGCUAACUACGUG